AUACAUUGUUGUGCACCUCCAAAAGAAAACUGGGAGCCAGGCACUGUUGAUCUGCAGUGUGUGAACCUGGAAUGAGGCCAUUGGCGCUGCUCAGGGAAGCAGUGGAGCUCCCAGCCCAUGAGCAUGGAGUUGCCCCACGGACUCUUCCACUGAAAAAGUGUGGAUGAACGGAGACAGCCAGAUAUUCCAGUGCAGACUUCCCUGCGCUACUAAUUUAAGAUUGCUGUUCAGACUGAAAUUUCCAUGUUGGCUCAUGAUGAAUCCAUAGUCUAUAUGCAGUUCUUGAGAGAUAUUUCCGUAUCCUGAAAUAACAGGAGACUUGUGAUGCAUCUCUUCAUGACCCUGCAGUGCUCCACAACUCAUAGGAUGAAGGACUGAUGACACCACAUUGUUGUACAACAGAACAGUCACUGCGCAACAAUCCUUCAUUUAAAGUCAAUACAACUGAACUGAGGAGUUAAUAAGACUUGCACGCUUCCAUGCGAGGUACAAAUAAUUGGCAUAUGUAUUUUUGUAUUUGCAUAAGGACAGCUUGCUUUCUUUGGUGCCUCCCGAAGAGUUGUUGGCAGUGCUCUUAACAGAAGAAAAAAAAAAAAAAGAGUGAAUAGUGACCUCCAGGUGACCCAGCUUUGAACGUCAGUGUGCUGCAGACCCAGAGCACAGUUUUCUUCCUCCAGAAUAAGCUUUAGUAUAA
rnacentral:lncRNA from 1 species